GGUCUAUGCCGCCGGCACUUUGUCUUCAUUUAUUAUGCCAGCGGCGGCAUGGACGGGAAGCCUCCGCUGAGGAGAUAUCGCUUCAUUUCGGCAAGAAUCGCUCACGGAAGGAGGUCCCCCAGUUAUACCUUAGAAGUGGAAGGAAACCCUCUCCUGGGUCAUGUGUCCAGGAUUUCCAAUAAGAACCAAGUAUUUGAAGCUUAACACUGAAGUCUCCAGAGGAGCCAGGCCAAUUUCACACUAAUCUAACCCAUGAAGGGAGAGAGCAACGG
rnacentral:lncRNA from 1 species